rnacentral:tRNA from 1 species
GCCCGAAUGGUCUAGUCGUAUGAUACCUGCUUUGGGUAUUUCUAAAUGCAGGUGGUCCCGGGUUCAAAUCCCGGUUCGGGCC